rnacentral:rRNA from 1 species
UAGGGAAUCUUCGGCAAUGGGGGGAACCCUGACCCAGCAACGCCGCGUGAGUGAAGAAGGUUUUCGGAUCGUAAAGCUCUGUUGUUAAGGAAGAACGAGUGUGAGAAUGGAAAGUUCAUACUGUGACGGUACUUAACCAGUAAGGGACGGCUAACUACGUGCCAGCAGCCGCGGUAAUACGUAGGUCCCGAGCGUUGUCCGGAUUUAUUGGGCGUAAAGCGAGCGCAGGCGGUUAGAUAAGGCUGAUGUGAAAGCCCCCGGCUCAACCGGGGAGGGUCAUUGGAAACUGGUUGACUUGAGUGCAGAAGAGGAGAGUGGAAUUCCAUGUGUAGCGGUGAAAUGCGUAGAUAUAUGGAGGAACACCAGUGGCGAAGGCGACUCUCUGGUCUGUAACUGACGCUGAGGCUCGAAAGCGUGGGUAGCAAACAGG